rnacentral:misc_RNA from 1 species
UUAAUUUCUCAAUGUUUGAUUUCAGACACAAAUCGCCGACCGCAGCAUAGAAUAAACGCCAAGGCGUCAAAGGCACAAUUCGCUUCCGUGGGUUUGCAAGGUUGAAGGCCCCCCAAGGGGGCCGUUCGUAAAUGAUCCCUCCGCAGGUUCACCUACGGAAA